AAACAAUGAAACAGAAGAAACCCAAAUGAAUCGAAAUAUGUAUUGAGUUGGUGGAAUAUUCUUGUAGAGAAAAACUAAUUCUGGUUUCUCUCCUCUAUUUCUUUUAGCUUUUUUCUCUUUUUGCUCUCAGAAUUGCUAACCCUAAGCCUGUGAAGCUGAAGACUACACUUCCCAUUAUGGGUUACUGAUGAAAGGUUAAAGAAAUUGAAAUGUAAAAGAUAAGAUUUGUUUCAAGUUCUGUAAAGUUUUUAAGUUCUAUUAAGUUGUAUUUGGAACCUGAAAUUCAUGUGGAAGUUUAAAACAACUCCCGGAAAAAGCCACUGAAAUGUAUGUUGAAAUCUCCCCUGACCAUCUGGUUGCUCUGUAAAAACAGCCCCCUCCCCAUCCAGAAACUGUGCAGUCCUGCACAUACACACCUCAGGACUUAAGCCAAUCAGUUCAUAUGUAUACCCUUCUUUGUGCUGACCAAUCACCCCUACCCGACCUGUUCCUGCCAGUGAAUGUACUAAUCAUGGUUAAGAGUUGUUGAUUAAUUUUUCCGUGGUGUGUGAUGAUUUGUUAUGCUGUAUGUGAAGCCCCUGCCCCUUUCCAAAAAAUGUAUAUAAGCCCUGCUCAAGCUGUACUCGGGGCUCUUUGAUCUCCGCUCCUCCGAAGUGAGCUCUGAGCCCCAGCAUGCUGGACCC
rnacentral:lncRNA from 1 species